CACACUGCCCCUGGUGCUGGGGAAGGAAGGGAAUAUUGGCCGGCAGCAAACUUGCUGUGUAAAGGGGAAGUGGCCAUUCCUCUGGGGUCAGAGUCCAGAGGAUCUGGACUUUGUUCAUUCUCUCCUGCCUGCAAACAGGGAAACAUAAACACCUACAAGAUAAAAGCAAAAACUAAUCCUAGAAAAACAAGUCUGGCUAUUUACCCCCCCCAGAUCUAACUCUGGAUUAGACUCAUGCAACUCACACUGGAGCCUACCAGCAGCUACUGCUGUUCAUGCUACUGUGGGAGAACAUUUUGAGAAAUGCUUUCACAGAGAGCCUAAAAAUGAAGCAGGAAAUCAGAUACAGAGAAGAACACAGGAUAACAAGACAGUGCCACUUUACUGUAAGAGCAUGAAUCUUUAUACAAGGGGGCAGACUGGAGAAUGUCAGGCCUCAUCUGUUGAGCUUCAGUCCCAUUUAAUCAAAGGGGUUUCCAUGUGUGAGCAUUUAAAAGAAAAACUUAUUCUUGCUGGAGUGGGGAAGAAAGAACUGACAAGCUGGGAACACCAAAAGAAAAAAGGAAGAACCUUAAAAUAUCAGGAUUGGCUGUCUUGAGCUCUGAAGGUGAGACUUGUGCAAUGAACUCCCUUCACCAGCUCUUUGGAGUAGAGUUCACACAGUUAUCUGACACCAUGCUGCAUCCUCUCUUCUGCUCUGUGACUUAUCUGUCAGAUCCUGGUUUGCCUGAGGACAAGUAGGACAGAGGCUGCAGCACAGGGCUGCAACCUGGAAGCACCUCCCUCUGCGUGGGUCCCCACCAUCCUUCUCUGCUAGGCUACUGAGGUAUAUGCCAAAUGUGCCAUCUACUUUGGGUCUAUCACACUCUUAGACUGGACAAAUUUCAGAAGUCAGAGGGCAGAAUGAACAUUAUGGACAGUUGGUAGAUUCUUCCACACAAAUCAUCUGACGGAGAGGAGAAUGGUGUCUUCUGCUUUCAGUGAAAGUAGCUGGAAUCAAGCCCAGAAAUUUUUUGCAGCUACCAUAACUAAGCCACCCUGCACACAAACCUUUAGGCAUAAAAAUGAUAUGGUAUUAAAAUGAAAGAGGUACAGCAGUUUCAGUUAAAAUUGCACUGGGUAUCAUAAUUUCACAUUACUUAGCUAUGUGUGUGCUUCAGCUCUCAGCCAUGAUGUACUAAUUGAAACUUUCCACAGACGAUGUUGUUAAAAAGGAUUCAGCAAAAUGGCAAUACGUACUAUUCUUCUCUCCAAAAGUGAGAACUGUAGUCCAGCCUUGAAAAAGUCUCUGCUUCCCACUGACUUUGUUGAGAACUUUCUUUUGGAUCGAUGGACAGUAUGCAGCUCUCAGUGCUUUCACCUGGUCACUGACAGGUGAAGUGCUAUCACUAUUUCGUUAAUCCUUGUGUUUCCUGCUGCAUUGCCAUCUCCAAAUAGACGUAUUUUAGCGGUGAGCAGACAGAUUCUAAUAACGUCCUGGUGGAUAACAGGCUGCCUCAGCAGUGUGCCCCUGUGGCCAGGAAGGCCAAUGGUAUCCUGGGGUGUAUUACAAAGAGAGUGGCCAGCAGGUGGAGGGAGGUUCUUCUCCCCUUCUCGUCUGCCCUGGUAAGGCUACAUCUGGAGUACUGUGUCCAGUUCUGUGCUCCUCAGUUCAAGAAAUAAAGGGAACUUCUACAGAUGCCUGGGGCA
ensembl:lncRNA